UAAAAAAAUCGCAUGCGAGUUCUCUUAUUUGACACCUCUAUCGCCAAAUUGCUGCUAAAACAACUAACAUUACAAUGAGAAGCAAAAACACCUACCAUAAUGCAGUAGGCAUGUAACGAGUGCAUUACUUCUUCGCGAUGCUGCGAUGAGCAAACGCAAACGAAGGUGGACAAAAACAACGGACGCCUUCUCCAUAUUCAGACUGCACCACAAACAACUUACAAUAAACACAACAGCAUUGCCGCUGUCGUGGAGUUUCUCUACGAAGUCACUUAACAUGGGCUCAGCGUCAGUCAAAUGGAAAUCUUCAAUCGCGUUCGGUCAAUGGUCAAAUUGUCAAUAAUGAGCUCGUGUUGUCAACGCGUACGAAAUUAAUAGUAAAAGUGCUUUUUAAAUUAUUUUAUUUGAUUUAAAAUCUUGAGUCGGAGUUGUGCAAAUUAUAUGAAAAGUUAAAUUAAGUGUGAAAAGUUGUAAGUAUUCUACAUAUUAAAAGCAAAAAAAUGUGUGCGAAGUGAAAUAAAAUAGUGUGCAUAGGUAAUGUGGUUUUCUGUGAUAUGUGUUAAUGCUUGUUAAUGGUGUUAAUAACGAAGGGAGUGCAAAUCAAAUAUUCUAUAUCAUUUAUAAAUCGUGAUGUAGUGAAUUAGUGAAAUAAUUUCUUUUUAAAUAUAUUUCUUAAAAUGUGAAGUCGCUGCGUUCGUUUUUUCGGUGUUCGUCUAUAGUCGUUUUCUAAUAAACCAACAACGUCGUUCGCACAAACAAACAAAUAAUAUCGGUGCAGCAGAGUAAUAAAUUUUUUGCUGUAAAACGUAAAGGUUUGGCGAAUUUCGCUCGAAAUGAGAGUAAUCGUUUACAUAAGGAAUUUUACUAAGAUGAGGAUGUUGAUUUGGACGGCCUUUGGUUUCAAGACCGCGGUACAUGCCAUACAGUCAAUUAAAUUAUUGAGAGAAGCUUUUGGUGGGCACAUUACAAGUAUCUCGUGUCGUGGACCUGUUGACCUGUGGAGAUAUGUGACGUCACUUGUCCAAGCCCAUAAGCAGCAGAUGAAACAAUUGAUUCCUUGGAAAAGAAAAUUCAUCGCGUUAUUGCUGAUAUACGGACACGAUUUCUGCAAAAAGUGGUCGAAAAUUAGGCCUGUCGACUAAAAUUUGAGACAGCCGCGGAAAACAUUUUCCCAAAAACAUUUUUAAAACUUAAUGGCGACCAUUAAUCUAGCUUUAUAAUAUAAAGAAAUCGUUUUAAAAAAUCGUUUUUGAAAAUCACAUGUCUCAAAACACACUCUUAUAAGAAAAAUCUAUAAUAACUUCAAGUAAAAAAUAAUAAUAAUAAAAAUUUAUACAAAUUUACGAAAUUCUUGUGUGGCUCUCAUUGGUAUCUUGAAGACUCAACAGCAUCAAAUGAUGACAGCUGCGUAACGAAAUAAAAAGUAACGGAAUAUGCAACAUGAAACCAAUUCUGUCCUCGACCAUGCUUAAGCAUUUGUGAGGUAAAUCACAACAUCACAACAAAAACAAAAUAAGUAAAAGAAACAAUGUUUGGCUUUAACUAUAUAUGUAUAUAUACAGACAUACAGGUAUACUUUCGUACGGAGUAGGUUGUUCACCUGACUCACACGGUUUCCAGUUAGUAGACGACAAAACAAAAACUAGCAAUAAAGCGCAAAGUACGGCAGCUGUUGUGAAAAAUUAACGGUAUUAACAUUGCAAAGUAAUGCUUGAAAAUGAAGUGGAAAACAAAAAUGAGAUAAGACAAGACAGACAAACAAAACAAAAAAUGUCUGAAAGUGUGCAGAGCCAGCAAUCAAAACGUCCGCGUUUCAAGAGGUUUAAAGGUUAUCGCGGCUUGGAAAGCACACACACACACAUCAACAGUUUAUACUUAGAUUACCACAAAAGU